GUCUAGGGCCAUACUACCCUGAAUGAGCCCGAUCUCAUCUGAUCUCGGAAGCUAAGCAGGGUCGGGCCUGGUUAGUACUUGGAUGGGAGACCGCCUGGGAAUACUGGGUGCUGUAGGCU